AUUGAACGCUGGCGGCAGGCCUAACACAUGGAAGUCGAGCGGAUGAAGGGAGCUUGCUCCUGGAUUCAGCGGCGGACGGGUGAGAAAUGCCUAGGAAUCUGCCUGGUAGUGGGGGAUAACGUCCGGAAACGGGCGCUAAUACCGCAUACGUCCUGAGGGAGAAAGUGGGGGAUCUUCGGACCUCACGCUAUCAGAUGAGCCUAGGUCGGAUUAGCUAGUUGGUGGGGUAAAGGCCUACCAAGGCGACGAUCCGUAACUGGUCUGAGAGGAUGAUCAGUCACACUGGAACUGAGACACGGUCCAGACUCCUACGGGAGGCAGCAGUGGGGAAUAUUGGACAAUGGGCGAAAGCCUGAUCCAGCCAUGCCGCGUGUGUGAAGAAGGUCUUCGGAUUGUAAAGCACUUUAAGUUGGGAGGAAGGGCAGUAAGUUAAUACCUUGCUGUUUUGACGUUACCAACAGAAUAAGCACCGGCUAACUUCGUG
rnacentral:rRNA from 1 species